rnacentral:rRNA from 1 species
AUUGAACGCUAGCGGGGUGCUUUACACAUGCAAGUCGAACGAGUGGCGGAAGGGUGAGUAAUAUAUCGGAACGUGCCCAGUGGCGGGGGAUAACUACUCGACAGAGUGGCUAAUACCGAAUACUCUUGGAACGGCCGGUAUCGGAUUUGCUGGUGGGUGGGGUAAAGGCUCACAAAGGCAACGAUCCGGAGCUGGUUUGAGAGGACGACCAGCAACACUGGGACUGAUACACGGCCCAGACUCCUACGGGAGGCAGCAGUGGGGAAUUUUGGACAAUGGGGGAAACCCUUAUCCAGCCCUCCGGCGUGUAUGUGAAGGCCUUCGGGUUGUAAAGUACUUUUGGCAGAGAAGCGGUAUCCGCAGAAUAAGCACCGGCUAACUACGUGCCAGCCGCCGCGGUAAUAC